UACAGUAUAGCUUUAAAGAAGCGUUCAUAAUGUUUUUCAGCUUUUAGACCCAAAAAACUGUUCAAGACAGCAUUAGAAACAGUAACAAACACUUGUGAUAAAAUCAGAUGAUCUUAGAUGGAUUCACUUGGAAACUGGUCUGGAUGGGACCCAGGGAACUGGUCUGGAUCAGACUAAGUGAUCAGGUCUGGAUCAGACCCAGGGAACGGUUCUGGAUGAGACCCAGGGAACAGGUCUGGAUUAGACCAAGAUAACAGGUCUGGAUCGGACCCAGGGAACUGGUCUGGAUCAGAUCCAGGGAGCAGGUCUGAACCAGUCCACAGUGGGUCAGUUCAGAACAUUGAUGUUUUAUCCAUUGGCUCCAUUAGUUUAUUCACUGUAAUUCAUCAGGAAAAAAUAUGUAAAACAAGCACCUGGAACAUGAUCCAAUCAGAAACAAAUCAACAUCAAUGAGUUUGUUACAAAUAGAAAACAGUAAAGUAGUAAAAACUAAUGAAAAAAGACAAUGAAAAUAAGGAAAAUGGAUUCAAACUCAUCGAAAAUGCUGCUUUAACCAUAUUCACAUUCUGGAUCUAAUCAAAGUAAAUCUUCUCCUGAAAAACAACCUCAU